rnacentral:tRNA from 1 species
CAGAAAAUAAAUCAAUUGGUAGAUUAUUGACUUUGGGAGUCAAAAGUUAUGGGUUCAAGUCUCAUUUUUCUGA